GGAGUGUUUUGCAAAAUUAGGUAGUAGAUAAUAACCCUCUGAUAUUCGACCCCGUUUCGCUCGGGGAAGUUGUCUGGCUCGAGAAAGGUUAGAAAUGUUACGUGAGUCGACGACGUUUUAUUGUGAUACACUUUUUAACCGGACACUCUGUGGUUCUUCUUGACGUAUUGACGCUGAUGUCCAAUUACAACCUGGUUGUUGUAGCCGAAGACGAGAAUUUAUAACACAAGCGUAAGGAACCGAACAGCCGGACAAGACAGCGUGUCGCCGGUUGUUGUUAUCACCUUAUUAUACGGUAACGGAGUGAUGAGAUGUGAGACGCCCUGCGAGGCUUGGACAGCGCCGUUAAACCGGUUAAACCGACUGUGGACGACUUGCCAGCCGCGAAGACUUGACUGACCUCAGGUGUCCUGAGAACUGCAGACUUCAACCCAAAGCAAUAGCACUACGUUGAGCUACCGCUGGGAGUCACACAUUUACAGGCUUCGAACUCCAGCUCAGCAAACAGACAUCAUGUCUUCCAGGGAGCGUCGGUCAGAUGUCUACAUAAAGGCGGAACCGAGCAG